UACAGAGGGUGCAGGCGUUGUUCGGAAUUAUUGGGCGUAAAGGGAGUGUAGGCGGCUAGGAAAGUCUUCUGUGAAAUCUACGGGCUCAGCCUGUAACGUGCAGAGGAAACUAUCUGGCUAGAGUGUCGGAGAGGAUAGGGGAAUACCCGGUGUAGAGGUGAAAUUCGUAGAUAUCGAGAGGAACACCGGUGGCGAAGGCGGCGACCUGGACGAUUACUGACGCUGAGACGCGAAAGCGUGGGGAGCAAACAGG
rnacentral:rRNA from 1 species